GAUGAACGCUGGCGGCGUGCCUAAUACAUGCAAGUCGAGCGAACGGACGAGAAGCUUGCUUCUCUGAUGUUAGCGGCGGACGGGUGAGUAACACGUGGAUAACCUACCUAUAAGACUGGGAUAACUUCGGGAAACCGGAGCCUAUACCGGAUAAUAUUUUGAACCGCAUGGUUCAAAAGUGAAAGACGGUCUUGCUGUCACUUAUAGAUGGAUCCGCGCUGCAUUAGCUAGUUGGUAAGGUAACGGCUUACCAAGGCAACGAUGCAUAGCCGACCUGAGAGGGUGAUCGGCCACACUGGAACUGAGACACGGUCCAGACUCCUACGGGAGGCAGCAGUAGGGAAUCUUCCGCAAAGGGCGAAAGCCUGACGGAGCAACGCCGCGUGAGUGAUGAAGGUCUUCGGAUCGUAAAACUCUGUUAUUAGGGAAGAACAUAUGUGUAAGUAACUGUGCACAUCUUGACGGUACCUAAUCAGAAAGCCACGGCUAACUACGUG
rnacentral:rRNA from 1 species